rnacentral:ncRNA from 1 species
AAGAGCCGGAUGCGGUAAGUUCCGCAAGUCCGGUUCUGUGAGGGAUGCGUAAUGGAAGUUACGCAUCUACUCGAU